rnacentral:rRNA from 1 species
CCCUUAGAUGUUCUGGGCCGCACGCGUGCUACACUGAACGGUUCAAUGGGUAAGGUAGUGCGAAAGCAUGACCUAAUCUCGAAAUCCGUUCGUGCUGGGGAUAGAAGCUUGCAAUUAUCCUUCUUGAACGAGGAAUACCUUGUAAGCGUGAGUCAUCAUCUCACGCUGAAUACGUCCCUGCCCUUUGUACACACCGCCCGUCGCUCCUACCGAUUGAGUGUUCCGGUGAGGCUUUGGGAGAAUGGCCUCAACAUGAGUUUAUCGUGUGUUGCCGUUUGAACUUAGUCAAACCUUAUCACUUAGAGGAAGGAGAAGUCGUAACA